AAUUUCUGCAUCAAUUGAAAAUACGUUAUGGAUUAAAAAAUUUCACGUAGAAUACGAUGGUUGUGCUAAGAACUGCUAUGAGGUUGGGGCAAUUGUUAAAAAUCGAUUGAAACAUAUUAAUUUUAGCAAUACCAUGAAGCAGAGAAGUGUCUUGAAGAAUUAUUGAAGCUAGAUCAACGAAUUGACUGGGUACUCGGAGAAUUGGUUCUGGUACGGUUGAUGCAACUUACAAGUAUGGGUUUUUCUAAAAUGGACUCUCUUAAGGCUCUGUAACAAUGUUCAUCUGUUACUGAUGCAGUGACAUUGUUGACAUCAGGAAAUAUAAGUAGUUCAGAAUUAGAGAGUAAUAUUAAUACGCCCGAGAUCCAAAAUUGCGAUGGCGACGAAGUUUAUUUUUCUAACGACGAAUCAAGUAGCACAAUUUUAUUAUCCAAACUGAUAUCUGAUAUAUCAUACAAAUCUAGUUAUUAUAAAAAUCUACGAUCCCAACCAUUUUCCUCCUCUAAGGCCCAAGAGUUUUGUAGCAGCUCGGAAAGAUCUUUGAACAGUAGCAUUUCUAUGGAAUCCCUUCGGCGAACCAAUGACAAUGAUCAUUGGGAAGUUCAGGGUAACUCCAAAUCUCUAAUGAGCACUUAUAAACCUCAAAAACCAAAAGUUAUAGCAAAUGAUAGCAGUACCAUUUGGGUUGGCAAUAUCGAAAAGAAUGUUACAAACCUUAAAUUACGGGAAUUAUUUUCAAGGCAAGUAAUUUUUCUUUCAGCCUAGGGCUGUGCGAUUAAUUGGUUACUCGUAGACUUCAGUGAUUUGUUUUACGAGUUCAUCGUUGAAUCAAUUAAUUGAAAAAGAACAAUUUAAAAAAGACAAUUGAUCAGUUAAUUAAUUGAGCAAAUGGUUACUUGAAAGGCCGAUACAUUGAUUAAUCGGAGGAACGAUUAAUCGAAUUUCCAUUGCUCGAUAACCUAACCAUUGAUGGAAAAAACAAUCAUUUGAACUCUCCGAUUAUUUGAUUAAAUACACAGCCGUAAUUCUUACUGAACUGCAAUUCAUCACAUUAUUAAUCUGUUCAUCAAAUUUUUUAUUCUAGAUUUGGCUCUAUAAAUUACAUUCGAAGAUUACCGGAUAAACGUUUCGUGUUCAUUGAUUUCAAUAGUAAAAAAGCUGCAACGAAAGCGUUAAAUAGCAUGAUAAAUUUUCAAGUCAACGGGAUACAAUUACCAGUAAAAUCAUCCACAGGUUCUCUGACAAAUAAAUGAGGAAUGCAUUUAUUAUUAUAUCAAUAACGGGAUUUACAUUCAAUUUAAAUAUUUCAUAUUCAGCAUAUACGGCACCUGAUUUGGAAUGCGAAAUCUGGGGGAAAAAAAACUGAUUUUAUUUUUAAUAUUUGUAUGCUUACGUUGUGUGAUGUAAAAUCAAGUUUUCGUAUGAUGACGUGUGACAUUUUUAAUUCAUUAUACAUAUUCAUAUUUUCAGCCAAUACUGCAGAAGGAAUUUAUCAAAUAUAUUACAGCCUUCUCAGUUUAAUAGGUUUUCAUGGUUUGUUUCAUUUUUAUUCUACUUUUCUUACUUAUUUGACUUAGAUUAUUUGGAUUGCUUGAAAAUAAGUAAAAACUGUUACUUCGAGUAAUUGUAUGAAAAAGAGACAGCACUCUGAAAUAGGGAUGUGCCGGAUAUCCGUUAACCAUCCGGUAUCCGGCCGGAUUAUCGGAUAGCAAUAAUCUGUCCAGAAGAUGAUUAUACUAUUACUCAAGAUGAUAGAAAUGGAAAAAAAUUAAAGUGGACAAAACUGAAAUAAGUAGGAAAUGAAGAUUCUCAGUUUCACACUUCAGUUUAGGUAACCUUACUUUAAAAUCCAGAAUUUGGCGAUUUUCUCGUACCGGAUACCGGAUAUCCG